rnacentral:rRNA from 1 species
CCCUUAGAUGUUCUGGGCCGCACGCGCGCUACACUGAUGCAUUCAACGAGCCUAUCCUUGACCGACAGGUCCGGGUAAUCUUUGAAUCUGCAUCGUGACGGGGAUAGUUUAUUGCAAUUAUUAAUCUUCAACGAGGAAUGCCUAGUAGGCGCAAGUCAUCAGCUUGCGUCGAUUACGUCCCUGCCCUUUGUACACACCGCCCGUCGCUCCUACCGAUUGGGUGUGCUGGUGAAAUGUUCGGAUCGGCCGUUUGUCGCGGUUUCCGCGUCAUGUGGCUGAGAAGUUCAUUAAACCCUCCCACCUAGAGGAAGGAGAAGUCGUAACA